UAAAGAAGUAUGUAAAGGAUUUAAUUUCCCAACUACAGAGUACUCCAAAGAAUAUUCUGUAUCUCAAUAAUAUCCUGACCUAUCGAAUCGAUAUCUUGGUAAUACACUUACACACAUAAAUCUU
rnacentral:lncRNA from 1 species